GACGAACGCUGGCGGCGUGCUUAACACAUGCAAGUCGAACGGAAAGGCCCUGCUUUUGUGGGGUGCUCGAGUGGCGAACGGGUGAGUAAAACGUGAGUAACAUGCCCUUGACUUUGGGAUAACUUCAGGAAACUGGGGCUAAUACCGGAUAGGAGCUCCUGCUGCAUGGGGGGGGUUGGAAAGUUUCGGCGGUUGGGGAUGGACUCGCGGCUUAUCAGCUUGUUGGUGGGGUAGUGGCUUACCAAGGCUUUGAAGGGUAGCCGGCCUGGGAGGGUGACCGGCCACAUUGCUACUGCGAUACGGCCCAGACGCCUACGGGAGGCAGCAGUCGGGAAUAUUGCACAAUGGGCGGAAGCCUGAUGCAGCAACGCCGCGUGCGUGAUGACGGCCUUCGGGUUGUAAACCGCUUUCGCCGGUGACGAAGCGGGAGUGACGGUAAUGGGUAAAGAAGCACCGGCUAACUACGUG
rnacentral:rRNA from 1 species